AAUUGAUUAGUCUAAAAAAGACUUUUAUUUUGAAAAUAAAAAAUGAUAAUUAAAAUUCUCAUCAAUUU
rnacentral:tRNA from 1 species